GCAGGGCUAUCCGUGGCGCGUGCCUGUAGUCCCAGCUAUUCGGGAGGCUGAGGCUGGAGGAUCUCUUGAUCCCGGGAGUUCUGGGCUGUAGUGCGCUAUGCCCAUCGGGUGUCAGCACUAAGUUCGGCAUCACUAUGGUGACCUCCCGGGAGUGGGGGACCACGAGGUUGCCUAAGGAGGGGUGAACUGGCCCAGGUCGGAAACGGAGCAGGUCAGAACUCCGGUGCUGAUCAGUAGUGGGAUCGCACCUGUGAAUAGCCACUGCACUCCAGCCUGGGCAACAUAGCAGACCCUGUCUCUA
ensembl:misc_RNA Metazoa_SRP Metazoan signal recognition particle RNA